CACUAGCUUAUUAGGGACCUCAAUUUCAUUUAUCUAACAUUGAAAGGUUGAGAAGGAUUGGAGAAAGAAGGUAAAUGUUGUGGUUUCUUAUCUCCCUUUAUAAGUCACUUAAAGAGGUGGUUU